AACUGCGAAUGGCUCAUUAAAUCAGUUAUCGUUUAUUUGAUAGUACCUUACUACUUGGAUACCCGUGGUAAUUCUAGAGCUAAUACAUGCUGAAAACCCCGACUCCGGGAGGGGUGUAUUUAUUAGAUAAAAAACCAAUGCCCUCCGGGGCUCCUUGGUGAUUCAUGAUAACUUCUCGAAUCGCAUGGCCUUGCGCCGGCGAUGGUUCAUUCAAAUUUCUGCCCUAUCAACUUUCGAUGGUAGGAUAGUGGCCUACCAUGGUGGCAACGGGUAACGGGGAAUUAGGGUUCUAUUCCGGAGAGGGAGCCUGAGAAACGGCUACCACAUCCAAGGAAGGCAGCAGGCGCGCAAAUUACCCAAUCCCGACACGGGGAGGUAGUGACAAUAAAUACUGAUACAGGGCUCUUUCGGGUCUUGUAAUUGGAAUGAGUACAAUCUAAAUACCUUAACGAGGAACAAUUGGAGGGCAAGUCUGGUGCCAGCAGCCGCGGUAAUUCCAGCUCCAAUAGCGUAUAUUAAAGUUGUUGCAGUUAAAAAGCUCGUAGUUGAACCUUGGGUCUGGCUGGCCGGUCCGCCUCACCGCGUGCACUGGUCCGGCCGGACCUUUCCUUCUGGGGAACCCCAUGGCCUUCACUGGCCGUGGCGGGGAACCAGGACUUUUACUUUGAAAAAAUUAGAGUGUUCAAAGCAGGCCUUUGCUCGGAUACAUUAGCAUGGAAUAAUAGAAUAGGACGUCGCGGUUCUAUUUUGUUGGUUUCUAGGACCGCCGUAAUGAUUAAUAGGGAUGGUCGGGGGCGUCAGUAUUCGGCUGUCA
rnacentral:rRNA from 1 species